rnacentral:rRNA from 1 species
AGUGAACGCUGGCGGCAGGCCUAACACAUGCAAGUCGAGCGGCAGCGGGUCCUUCGGGAUGCCGGCGAGCGGCGGACGGGUGAGGAAUGCGUCGGAAUCUGCCUUUUUGUGGGGGAUAACGUAGGGAAACUUACGCUAAUACCGCAUACGACCUACGGGUGAAAGUGGGGGACCGCAAGGCCUCAAGCAGAAAGAUGAGCCGACGCCGGAUUAGCUAGUUGGCGGGGUAAAGGCCCACCAAGGCGACGAUCCGUAGCUGGUCUGAGAGGAUGAUCAGCCACACUGGAACAGAGACACGGUCCAGACUCCUACGGGAGGCAGCAGUGGGGAAUAUUGGACAAUGGGCGCAAGCCUGAUCCAGCCAUGCCGCGUGUGUGAAGAAGGCCUUCGGGUUGUAAAGCACUUUUGUCCGGAAAGAAAUCCAAUCGAUUAAUACUCGGUUGGGAUGACGGUACCGGAAGAAUAAGCACCGGCUAACUUCGUGCCAGCCGCCGCGGUAAAAC